rnacentral:piRNA from 1 species
AAUAAGUUUUAACCUCUGUUCCUAGU